rnacentral:rRNA from 1 species
UACGUAGGCAGCGAGCGUUGUUCGGAGUUACUGGGCGUAAAGCGUGCGUAGGCGGCGGCCCAAGUCUGGUGUGAAAUCUCCCGGCUUAACCGGGAGGGUGCGCUAGAAACUGGGUUGCUUGAGUACCGGAGAGGCAGGCGGAAUUCCUGGUGUAGCGGUGAAAUGCGUAGAUAUCAGGAGGAACACCGGUGGCGAAGGCGGCAUCCUGGACCGGUAUUGACGCUGAGGCGCGAAAGCCAGGGGAGCAAACGGG